AUUGAACGCUGGCGGCAUGCCUUACACAUGCAAGUCGAACGGCAGCGCGGACUUCGGUCUGGCGGCGAGUGGCGAACGGGUGAGUAAUGCAUCGGAACGUACCUUUCAGUGGGGGAUAACGUAGCGAAAGUUACGCUAAUACCGCAUAUUCUGUGAGCAGGAAAGCAGGGGAUCGCAAGACCUUGCGCUGAUUGAGCGGUCGAUGUCAGGUUAGAUAGUUGGUGAGGUAAAGGCUCGCCAAGGGGACGAUCUGUAGCGGGUCUGAGAGGAUGAUCCGCCACACUGGGACUGAGACACGGCCCAGACUCCUACGGGAGGCAGCAGUGGGGAAUUUUGGACAAUGGGGGCAACCCUGAUCCAGCCAUGCCGCGUGAGUGAAGAAGGCCUUCGGGUUGUAAAGCUCUUUCGGCCGGGAAGAAAUCGCAUGGGUUAAUACCCUGUGUGGAUGACGGUACCGGAAUAAGAAGCACCGGCUAACUACGUGCCAGCCGCCGCAGUAAAAC
rnacentral:rRNA from 1 species